rnacentral:lncRNA from 1 species
CUCAGUGCUGCUGAAAGACAAAGAGGAGCAGGGCAGGGGAGGGCGAGGAUCAAGGAAGGACUGUCCGAGCAGGCUCUCGACACAGCCCCUGCACCAGAGCUCUCCACAGCGGGCCACAGCCGGCUCCCUGGGCAACUGGCCGUCUCGUCUCUGCGUCCAUCUGUGUGUGCCGUCUGGGUCGGCCCUGCCUCUCCUGGAUUGUCCUCGGCCAGGCCAGGGCUUGGCCACCACUAAAGAAGGCAUUUCAUAGUAACACUGCAAAAUCAAGCUGGGAGCAGCCUCAUGGCCACUUGGUUGAGCUUGUCCCAGGCUGGAAGGACUCAAAUCCUGUAACAUGGUGUCAUGGAAGGUGUCCUCUGGAAUCUCAGCUCUGGGCAGUGCUUAGCUAGGCUACAUCCAAAGUAACACCCCAGAGAAUAUGCCCUAAACUCUCAGUUGUCACUCUGAAGACCCCUAUACUAACCCCUCACCCACCCACUGCUUCAACCCACUGUGGUUACUGCCCACUUCUCUGUGCCACGCAGCCUCCUGGGGGUGGGCUGUGGCACACAGGUGCUCCCACAUGCUGAUGUGGCAGCUAGAAUAGGGCAGGUGUGGAGGGAGCCUAGCUGGAAGAGCAUCUGUGCUGACACGAGUGGGUCCUGCCUAGGCCAGCACCGGGGCCUGUCCCCAGGUCCCCACCUGUGUGCGGAGCACCAAUCAACGCUGCUCUGCCCCAGGCCACCUUUGGGCUUGGCUUAAUCAUGGCUGCCCCGGCUCCAUUCUGACCCCCAUGCUUACCCCAAGAGUAGUUCCUGUGUGCUUAGCGAGCACUUCUAGCCUCGAGAAGCCUUGUUUCUGGGAGGAUCCUUUCAGGAGAGUGGAGGGGAACAGGGGAGAGCAGUGGCUGGGGAAGGAGGCAGCAGGCGGCACCCUGGAGUGCAUUUUCCCUGCUGUUUGCUCUGCUGCGGGAAGGCUCAGGAGGAAUAGUAAGUCAAAGCGAGAGCUAGAGGAGUCCUGCGCUGACAGCUGCAGAGACUGAAGGUGGUAUGACUGUGGCAGGCUGCAUCAAGGCCACGCUGCCCUGAGGCCAGACGGGCAUGGAACGGUGCCUGGACUCUGGCCUGGAGUCUGGGAGUGAGGAGGAGGAUGCUGUUGCCGGGAAGAGCACGAGGGGCCUGAGUGGGGACCAGUGAGAGGUUGUGAGCUCCUUUGUCGUUGUGUUUUUUCCAAUAGAAUUCUACAUUUGUAUUUUUUAAAAAUGGAGGCAUCACAUAACAAAGUGUGUAAAGCGUGCUGAUAUGAAGCCAAUCUUUACCGUGUGUCUUUGCACACGGAUAGAGAAGCUUAUCAGCACUCUGUGGCUCCUGCAUUAGCCAGGUGUUUUAUCUUCUGUAUUUGUGAUGCUUUGACGUCUUCUGAGGUUCUGCUGGCUGGGGAGAGACUGCCCCUGCAAGUGUGCCUUUCAUAUGCAAACCAGCGAUCCAGAGCCCACCCCCUCACCGCCUCCUGCGUGGGACUCUCACACAGCAAGCCGGGCGUCCUCCAGCCCUGCAUCACUCCAGGGCUGGGGACCAGACAACUGGAGACCACCUUGUCGCCAGAGCUUUCCGAAAUUAUUGAAAUUAGCCGAUCCUAAACUUGCUCAAACUUGUCUCCCCGCCUCCUCUGUUCCCACCCUUGGAAACAGCAGUAUGGGCCCUGGCCACGUGUCCUUCUGCCUCCUGACUGACGCUGGUGCUUCCCCAUGUGGCCCUGCAUCAGGAAUUCUAAGUAGUAAACUUUUCUCUCAAAGUCUCUGUGCCUGUCACCUUACCAUAUCUGAUCAAAACAAAAUCCCAUUUCAAGAAGGCCUGUCUGUCCCUUGCUGGUCUACACACUCCUCCAUCCCAGGAGGUAGCCGUUGUUGUGAUUUCUAUCAUAACAGAGUGUCGCCUUGUUCUUUAAAU